rnacentral:lncRNA from 1 species
CGAGCGAGUAUAAACCGCGACAAAACAAGCUGCUCCAAUCAACUUUUCUCGUGUCCAAGCACACCUGAGGCCGCCGUUUAUAUAUCUCAUUGAAUGCCUGAGUUCAGGACAAAUCGUCAGUCACACUUGUCUUAACAUGAGCGUGAUUGACCCCGUUACCCCCCUCUCCCUCGUGUCCCCUCCUCACGCAAUAGCAAAUCAGCUGGUAUGGUCCCGUAUUGAUGUUGUCGAAGCGCAGCAGAAGCGAGAAAUCGUCUUCCCGUUGAUGACGUUGUCGUUUGACUUCUCGUUCGGAAACAGAAGUGGAUCAGAUUCAUCUGGCAGGGGUCUCAGUCGUCCGCCACCUCUAUCGUCUCAAAUGCUCCACAGUCUUUCCCUGGUGGAUUGCAACCAGUUAUCCCUUUCUUUGUAAAGCAGUCUUAGCAUCAUUGUCAGUCUACACAACAGCUUUCCAUGCUCCGUCUAUGUGGCAGAGCGUUGUCGAUGGUCCUUGCCGGCCCCAGCACGGAUGCUCUGGUCAUCAAAAUAGUGUCGGACGCCUCGCGUGCAUGCACUAUUUCUUGUACAUCACGGGAAAACUUCAUCUCAAUAGAUAUAGCUCUGUUCGCGGAAUGUAAGUAGCUUCAACAUCUUCCUCUGCUCGACCCGCAAUGAUCCAAAAGUUGGUCCUCAGAAAGGCUUCUGGCCUUUUUGACAGGGAAACAUGCAUUCUUCGAUUCCGCCCAACGGUAUAGUCAUUGUUACACACACCAUUGGUCGAAGUCAAAAUUCAUUAUUUCUUGGGUCGCCGAGGGAAACUUGCUGAUGGACGCAAUACGGCUGUAGCUCGUGUGUCGUUGCUGGCACCGAGAGAAGUCGUGAGACGGUCUUAACACCGUAUCCUUUCGUCUGGAACACUUGUUGGGUCAACGUGAGCCCAUAAUGCUGCGUAGAAAUAUCGGAAGCGACUGAACGGCCUGGAGUCACCAAUUGGGAGCAGUCUGAAUGUGUGCAGCAUGCGUUUGUGUGAACACAUCGAAUCGUGCAGACGUGCCACUUCAGGGUCAGCGCGAGGACAGGUUUGAUUUGUUAGCACACUCACAGGUAAUUUUUAAAGUGGUAGGGAUAGGCGUGGCGCUGCACUUCUCCAGGCUGCCAUGUGUGGCGCUUCCAUCAACAGACGCUGGAUAGGACCGCUUUUGUGGUAUUCCGUAGAGGGGGGCCACACGGUGUGCAACGCUGCCUGUGCCUACAAGCAUAGUUUUCGUGCUCGCAGUUACGGUACGGCAGCAGCGAAAGUACUGCUCUAACACUUGGCGGAGCACACCAGUUCCACAGGUUCAAGUGACUGAGACUUGACGGCCUGAGAAGACUUCAGAAGUUUGACACUGAGAGCCGUACUGUUUUCCGUUGUACGGAACCGGCGUCAGUCUUUGCUCGCUCGCCCUCUUAAUCCGUCUUAACUCGUUUUUGUGUCAUUUAUGCUCCCAGUGGGGUUGGGGGUGACUCAGAGGUCUGACGCACAUUUCAUGCGGCAAUGGCCGUCUUCCUUACCGCUCCUCGUUCACCAUAUUUCAUUUUACUCUUGCUCAGCAGGUGAAAAUCACGAACGGAUGGCACACCAUGGAACGCGUUCAGAAAUAUCGCAUGAGUAGUGUAUCGGACGGUUCGACGUGGAAGGGGAGGCCAACUUGAAACAACUCGUCGGGCUUGACGCACCUUCCAAAUACUCUGAUGUGGGGAAGGUGGUCUGGCGCCCGGCGACACCACAUUGCGUGAACAUUCUGAUGAGCCACAAACGUAUACAGUUGCCACAUACCUUCGCGAAAUGAGAAGGAGUCUCGCGACGAGCACAGGCAACAACACCCGCAUUUCUCUCAACGUUCAGGCAGCGAAAUCUGUACAGCGCUGAAAGAUUAAUUCAUUCAGUCCUUCCUGUAUCAUAUCUAUCAGAUCCUAGGAUCGUAAGGAGAAACAUCUGCAGAACUCUGUGUCCCUUGCUCUCUGGAGCCAAUACUCUAGCAGUGGCAUUCUUAUCCCCUUGCACGGAGAGUUUCCCCUCUCUGCGCCGCGGUCCCACUAUGAGUCAUCGUUCCACUGCCCUAUAUUAAAAAAAUUUUCACCAGUAACUGGAGAUGCUGGGCUUCAACUCCACAUCUAAACCGAUUGAGAGCCCAGUAUGCCCACGAGCCGGGCGCCGCCUCUCGUGCCCUUCCUUGUGGAGUACAGGAUACGUUUUAAUGUUAACUUACCACAGACCGCGUGGGAGCGAAUGUAAUCUAAUAUGUAACUCCGUUCACGGAAAUCAAAAGAGCUUCCACGCUAUCUGUAGUGCCUUUUGGAGUGGAGCCCUCAAAUGAAGAGCAAAACAGAAACCGGCCACCAUCCGCCUUGUGGGCGUGAAUGAAGAGCGUACCUAGCGUGCUGCACCAGGAAACUCUGUUUUUGGGGGCCUAACGAGAACUCGCGUGUCUCUUUUCCAGCAACUGUCUAAGAAGACUUAUCGUGUCCCGUGGCGUUUGCCUCGUUAUAAAAGCAGACUUCGAGGCACUAUGAGACGCUGAUGGCGUCAGCACAGCCCGUCCUUCCGCCUGGAUACCACAAAUCAGGAU